UACGUAUCCCAACCCGAGGGAAGGGAAUCAGGUAUGCGUAGUUCAUCCAGAUUGGACAAUUAACAAUUAACUAAUAAAUUGACCCUAACUUAAGAGACACAACCAAAAACAAAUGAAUAAAACUUUUUGGAUUUUCAACUAGACAUUUCAACUAAGAUUGACACCACCAAUUAUGAAAAAAAAAAAUCUUUUUGGUAUUUUGUUUUUGACCAAUAAGUAUAAAA
rnacentral:lncRNA from 1 species